rnacentral:rRNA from 1 species
GACGAACGCUGGCGGCGUGCUUAACACAUGCAAGUCGAACGGAGUGGCGAACGGGUGAGUAACACGUGGGUGACCUGCCCUGCACUUCGGGAUAAGCCUGGGAAACUGGGUCUAAUACCGGAUAGUGGGGGAGGGGUCCGGGGCGUAUCAGCUUGUGGGGGGGGUACUGGCCUACCAAGGCGGCGACGGGUAGCCGGCCGGGGGGGGUGGAAGGCCACAUUGGGACUGAGACACGGCCCAGACUCCUACGGGAUGCAGCAGUGGGGAAUAUUGCACAAGUGGCGGAAGCCUGAUGCAGCGACGCCGCUUGGGGGAUGACGGCCUUCGGGUUGUAAACUCCUUUCACCAUCGACGCGGUAGAUGGAGAAGAAGCACCGGCUAACUACGUGCCAGCAGCCGCGGUAAUUC